rnacentral:misc_RNA from 1 species
GAUGAAGAACGCAGCGAAAUGCGAUAAGUAGUGUGAAUUGCAGAAUUCAGUGAAUCAUCGAAUCUUUGAACGCACAUUGCGCCCCUUGGUAUCCCGAGGGGCAUGCCUGUUCGAGCGUCAUUUCACCACUCAAGCCUGGCUUGGUGUUGGGCGACGUCCCCUUUGGGGACGCGCCUCGAAACGCUCGGCGGCGUGGCACCGGCUUUAAGCGUAGCAGAAUCUUUCGCUUUGGAAGUCGGGGCCCCGUCUGCCGGAAGACCUACUCGCAAGGUUGACCUCGGAUCAGGCAGGGAUACCCGCUGAACUUAAGCAUAUCAAUAGCGGAGGA